rnacentral:lncRNA from 1 species
CACUCUCCAAAGCCUGUUUCUGCGUCUCCGUCUUCUGCCUGUGACGUUUUUUAACUCUUUUGGCAGCUGGUCCCUCAGUGCUGAUUCCAGGACCAGGUACCUCAUUUUUCUGUGUAAUAACAUCGUCAACAAUAUUGUUUGUUUGAUUUUCAGACAAAGGGGCGGCAGAUUGAUUGGCUAGAAUAUCCUGAAUAUCCGUGUUGACCUCCAAGGGAGUUGUACCUUCGACGGAGGUACCAAUCUCCAAAGCCUGUUUCUGCGUCUCCGUCUUCUGCCUGUGACGUUUUUUAACUCUUUUGGCAGCUGGUCCCUCAGUGCUGAUUCCAGGACCAGGUACCUCAUUUUUCUGUGUAAUAACAUCGUCAACAAUAUUGUUUGUUUGAUUUUCAGACAAAGGGGCGGCAGAUUGAUUGGCUAGAAUAUCCUGAAUAUCCGUGUUGACCUCCAAGGGAGUUGUACCUUCAACGGAGGUACCAAUCUCCAAAGCCUGUUCCCGCAUCUUCCGCCUGUGACGUUUUUUAACUCUUUUGGCAGCUGGUCCCUCAGUGCUGAUUCCAGGAGCAGGUAUCUCAUUUUUCUGUGUAAUAACAUUGUCAACAAUAUUGUCUGUUUGAUUUUCAGACAAAGGGGCGGCAGAUUGAGUGGCUAGAAUAUCCUGAGUAUCCAUGUUGACCUCCAAGGGAGUUGUAUCUACCUCCAAGGGAGUUGUACCUUCAACCGAGGUACCAAUCUUCAAAGCCUGUUUCUGCGACUUCGUCUUCCGCCUGCGACGUUUGUCAACUCUUUUGGCAGCUGGUCCCUCAGUGCUGAUUCCAGGAUCAGGUACCUCAUUUUUCUGUGUAGUAACAUUGUCAACAAUAUUGUCUGCUUGAUUUUCAGACACAGGGGGGGCAGAUUGAUUCGGUAGAAUAUCCUGAAUAUCCAUGUUGACCUCCAAGGGAGUUGUACCUUCAACCGAGGUACCAAUCUUCAAAGCCUGUUUCUGCGACUUCGUCUUCCGCCUGCGACAUUUGUCAACUCUUUUGGCAGCUGGUCCCUCAGUGCUGAUUCUAGGAUCAGGUACCUCAUUUUUCUGUGUAAUAACAUUGUCAGCAAUAUUAUCUGUUUGAUUUUCAGACAAAGGGGCGGCAGAUUGAUUCGGUAGAAUAUCCUGAAUAU